rnacentral:pre_miRNA from 1 species
GGCAUACGUAACCGUGCUGAGAUUUCGUCACACACCAGACCACAAGGGCUGAUGAGGCUUCCAGAUAAGUGAAGCG